CCGCCCUGGAUGUGCGACAUACCGAGGAGCGCUGUAUAGGCCACAUCCGCCUCUGUGGCAAAAGAGUGGAAAGAGCUUUGAGUAGAGGUGACAAACCUACCGAAUUCAGUUAUAGCUGGUUGCCCGUGAAUUGAGUAUAAGCUCAGCCUUUUGGCUUCUUAGCUCCACAGCUAUAUUCAUAACCCCGACUUUAAGAAACCAAAAGAGUUAAUCAAAGGGGGUACAGCCCAUUUGAUACAAGAAACAACUUUUAACAGGAGGAUAAGGAUUAUAAAAACCAAGGUAUCGCGCUUAAGUAGGCUUAGAAGCAGCCAUCACAAGAAAGCGUUAAAGCUCUAGCACAUCCCUACCACAAAUACCAAUAAACUACUCCUAACCCCUCUCCCUACCGGGCUUUUCUAUGCCCCCAUAGAAAAAAUUAUGCUAAAAUGAGUAAUAAGGGGCCGACCCCCUCCAAGCACAAGUGUACAUCGGAACGAACCCCCACCGAAAUUUAACGGACCCAUACAAAGAGGGAAGUAAAUACUAAACUCACNGACAAGAAAAACAUUUAAUAAUCCUCCGUUACCCCUACACUGGUGUGCCAAAUAGGAAAGACUAAAAGAAAAAGAAGGAACUCGGCAAACUCAAAGCCUCGCCUGUUUACCAAAAAACACCGCCGCAUGCCCACAUUGCAUGGAGAAGGUUACGCCAUGACCAGGGUG
rnacentral:rRNA from 1 species